UACGUAGGGUGCGAGCGUUAAUCGGAAUUACUGGGCGUAAAGCGUGCGUAGGCGGUUCGUUAUGUCUGCUGUGAAAGCCCCGGGCUUAACCUGGGAAUGGCAGUGGAAACUGGCGGGCUUGAGUGUGGCAGAGGGGGGUGGAAUUCCGCGUGUAGCAGUGAAAUGCGUAGAUAUGCGGAGGAACACCGAUGGCGAAGGCAAUCCCCUGGGCCUGCACUGACGCUCAUGCACGAAAGCGUGGGGAGCAAACAGG
rnacentral:rRNA from 1 species